rnacentral:rRNA from 1 species
GACGAACGCUGGCGGCGUGCUUAACACAUGCAAGUCGAGCGGUCCUUUCCUUCGGGGUACACGAGCGGCGAACGGGUGAGUAACACGUGGGUGAUCUGCCUCGUACUUCGGGAUAAGCCUGGGAAACUGGGUCUAAUACCGGAUAUGACCGCAUGCUGCAUGGUGUGUGGUGGAAAGAUUUAUCGGUGCGAGAUGGGCCCGCGGCCUAUCAGCUUGUUGGUGGGGUAAUGGCCUACCAAGGCGACGACGGGGAGCCGGCCUGAGAGGGUGACCGGCCACGCUGGGACUGGGACACGGCGCAGACUCCGACGGGAGGCAGCAGUGGGGAAUAUUGCACAAUGGGCGGAAGCCUGAUGCAGCGACGCCGCGUGAGGGAUGACGGCCUUCGGGUUGUAAACCUCUUUCGACAGGGACGAAGCGGAAGUGACGGUACCUGUAGAAGAAGCACCGGCCAACUACGUGCCAGCCGCCGCCGUAA